rnacentral:rRNA from 1 species
AAUAUUGGACAAUGGGGGCAACCCUGAUCCAGCCAUGCCGCGUGUGUGAAGAAGGUCUNCGGAUUNUNAAGCACUUUAUGUUGGGNGGAAGGGCUUUAGGCUAAUACCCUGAAGUUUUGACGUUACCAACAGAAGAAGCACCGGCUAACCCUGCGCCAGCAGCCGCGGUAAUACAGAGGGUGCAAGCGUUAACUGGAUUUACUGGGCGUAAAGCGCGCGUGGGUGGUUCAGUAAGAUGGGUGUGAAAUCCCCGGGCUUAAACUGGGAACUGCUUUCAUAACUGCGGAGCUAGAGUACGGUAGAGGGUAGUGGAAUUUCCUGUGUAGCGGUGAAAUGCGUAGAUAUAGGAAGGAACACCAGUGGCGAGGGCGACUACCUGGACUGAUACUGACACUGAGGUGCGAGAGCGUGGGGAGCAAAC